rnacentral:rRNA from 1 species
UACGUAGGGGGGCAAGCGUUGUCCGGAUUUAUUGGGCGUAAAGCGCGUGUAGGCGGCCAGAAAAGUCCGCUGUGAAAACUCGAGGCUCAACUUCGAGCUGUCGGUGGAAACUUUCUGGCUAGAGUCCGGAAGAGGAGAAUGGAAUUCCUGGUGUAGCGGUGAAAUGCGCAGAUAUCAGGAAGAACACCCGUGGCGAAGGCGGUUCUCUGGGACGGUACUGACGCUGAGACGCGAAAGCGUGGGGAGCGAACAGG